AAAACCAGAGAGAAAGUGAACAAUCAUAUCUUUUUUACCUCUGCACUGAAAACAAAAACGAACAUAGUUGUUAACUUUUACUUUUCUGAUAAGCAAGUUAAGGAAAAUAAUUCACUGUCUUUAAUAAAGACUCAUUUCUUUUUAACUAUUGCUUUAUUUUGUCUCCGUUUUUAUUAGUGUUGAAUUGAAAUGAGUCCACUUUUUCAUUGGCUUACUCUAUGUGCUUAUAUUGUACCAGUAAUAACUUUAGGCCCGACACUAAGUUUUACUGGAAACCAUGAGGUACUAAAAGAACAUAUCGAGCCAUUGACAUUGACAUGUUCGUUUAAGGUCAGUGACAACGAGCUGCUCUACGCAGACGUUGAUCUAGAGGUCAAUUUCUUGUACAUACUUCACG
rnacentral:sRNA from 1 species